AGAGUUGUGGAUCAUGGGCAAGAAAAGCGCUGUUCUGGGACUGCGGGGCAGGAGAAGGAAACUGAUGCUUCUGAGGGUGAGUCUGAUGAGAUAACAUGCCUGUGUGUGGGCCUCAGGUUAGACAGUGCUGAGGUCUCCCAUCACUGGGCAUCCAGCUGGGUGCUAUGGCCGUGGCUCCUGCCUUCUGCAGCCCUGUCAGGGCCCAAGGCCUUCCCCAUCAGCACUUGCUCCAGCCUACUCACUGGAGUUGUGUUCUGGGUGGGUGUGUAGAAUACUCGCACUCCUACUUGGGGCAUCAGGGAGCUCUCUAGCAAUUUCUUCUGCACCUAGGGAGAGCCCACUGCUAAAAAAGGCCUGGUCAAAUCCUCAGGUGUACAUGGACAUCAAGAUUGGGAACAAGCCGGCUGGCUGCAUCCAAACCCUCCUGCGUUCCGACGUCGUGCCCAUGACCGCAGAAACAAGGAGAGUCAGCAAUUACCAGCCAGCCGAGGUCCUGGAAGCUGACGUAGAGCUCGUGCCGACGGCAGACCUGCCGGCCGUGGGAGCCGUGGACGUCAUCUGCAGGGACAGAAGGGGCAAGGUCUUUUCUGGGGUUCCUGCUGUGUGCAGCUACUAUGGGGUACCAGGGUGGGGGAUGCCCUGAUGAGCACAUUUGUCAAAUAAAUGAAUGACAGGAAACCA
rnacentral:antisense_RNA from 1 species